CCCGCCCCCACCAAACUGCCAAGCUCUCACCUGAUGCGGUCACUGGUGCCGCUGUAGCCCCAGCGGCUCUCCACCUGCUGGAACCGGUUAAUGCUACACUCCUUGCCCCGCAGGCAACACCGGGGCCGGUCGAUGAACUCCACACGCGGCUUGGGGUUGACAGUAAAAUGUAGGAAGAGGCUGACCACCUCCCGGUCCACCAGGAUGCCUGACUGUGCCGGGCCUGCGGGCAGAGGGCUGGCUGACAGCAGGAAGGGAAGGCAGACUCAGGACCUGGCCUCAGGGUGGGGUAUCUCAUUGUCAGGACCUGGCUAAGUAGAGGGGUGCCUCCUUCCUGGGACCCACCACAAUAUCUUUCUGCCUGGCAUUUUGGGCUGGUAGACUCCCACAUGUGUGAGUCUCUCUAGACCUCUGCCGUAGAACACCCUUGCUUUAUACUGGGUAGAACUUGUACCCUGCCUGUCCAUGCACAGGCUCCUAGGCCGAAGCGGGUUACUUCACAGCCAGUCUCAUCGCGCCGCAGCUUCCUAAAGCCUUUCCAGGGCCGACCCCAAACCUAUGCAUGUUGGGCAACUCAUCUACCAACGGAGUCCCAGCCCAAAGCUGAAUCCUGAGUGGCUGAUAAGACACGGCCUGCCCAUCCCCCAUGUCUGGAGACCCCAGAGUCUCAGGCAGUAUCCUCAAGCCAUAGCCUGAUGGGUGUGGGUCAGAGGCGCUGGUGGGCAGGCGGGGCUGUGGGAGCAGUGGCCGCCAUUCAAGUCUGUUACCUGCGGCAAACUCCUCGAUGGUCAUCAGGGGGAAUCGGAUGAGACUCAGGGCCUUGCCCAGCACCUUCCUCUUGUUCUCGGGUGUCACCUGAAGCUGCUGCCGUUGACACUCAGCCUCAGACCAGCGCACGACUGCAUUGAAGAGCCGAACCUCACGAAUGCCCAGGGUAUCCCGCUCCAGCACUGCCACCAGCGUGUCUGUGGUAGAGAGAGGCUGUGAACCCCGGGCUUAGUCUGGAAGCUGCUGUAUCCUCCCAGAGCACACCCACCUGUGUGAGCAGCAUGAAGGCAUUGUCAGCCCGCAGGUGCUUCUUCAGGAACUCCACACAGUGGGCCUCGAGCGCGGGCACUGCGUACUUCUUGGCCGUGUACAGUGUGGUCAUCACUGUCUCUGGCCCGAUCUGCACUUCAUCUGAGUACAGGAACCUGCAGGAGACACAGACUGUGACAGAGUGACCACCACAGCCACUCCGCUUGACCAGGCACCACAGGUUUGCAAAGCACUGUUCAGGAACCUCCUAGAGUUGGCAUCUGUCGUCUGUUGUCUGCUGACCUGGGGAUGCCCCUUGGUAAGGCCAGGCUGUCACCCAGGAGAUGCCUACGCGCAGGCCGCCCUGAGCUAACAAAGGCUGAGUGUAGGCACUCAUGGGUAAAUCGCAGGCUGAUGGACCUCAGGCCCCAGUGGGGACAGCAUGGUUAUCUACACCACACUGGUCACGGGCUAGGUGGGCACCAGCCCUUGGAUUCCAUCUCAGCACCACAGCUUAAGCAUGGCACAUAGCACGUUUGACAUUUUUGGAUACAGGCUAUUUCAAAACAACAAAGUUAAAAGUGUUCUUGUAAAAGAUUAAAAACAAUGUGUGUAUGUGCACUGUGUAAAGAGUGUGGCCUGAAGAGCCAGAGGGUGUCGAACCCCCGGAACUGGACUUGGUGGGGCCUGAGUGCUGGGACACUGCCAUCUCUCCCAUAAAGUACUCCAAGAAGCCGUGAGGUUAAAAACUCUGUCUCUUCUCCAGGAAAGCUCUAGCACCCUGCCCUGGGUGGGCUCUACAGGCAUCUCUAGGUGUUUGUCUGUCUUUCCUCACUCUACUACCCACCACGGUCAGAAACACUUGGACACGUACUUGAGCAGCGCCAGGAAGGCAGCAGGUUCCACAUCAGGCAGCUCAAUCUCGGUGGACGUGGUAGCCAUCCCACCAUUGAACAUGGCGUCAAAGACAGCGCUUCCCACAGCUAGCACAAACCUACGUAAGAAGAGAGGGUAUCUGUCCAUUAGUCCUGCUGGUGGACUCUACCCCACCUAGGCCAGCCAGUGUCCCCUGCCACACCUGCCUACAGAGACUCCUGCCAACCCUGGCAGAGGCCUUUCCAGACCUCGGGUCCUUCUAGGAGGGAACCGGAAAGAAGGCUGUAGAGCGGCCAGCAUGAGGGGCAGCCUAUACUUCUUUAUGUGCGUCUCCCUCCUACCCCUCCCUCAGCCCUUUUGCUCACUGGUGUGCACUAGCACCCUCUCAGGAACUUGUGUCCUCCCAACCACCCCCACUCCCUUCCCCACCCUCAUUUCUCUAGGCCUUGGCGACAAGCUUGGGGACCUGAUUCUCACCAUGGGGAAGCAGACAAAACCCCAGUGCCUAGACAGCCUAGGUCAGAGGCCACAAGCUCAGGGAGGGUGCUAAAGCUUGGGGGACAGCGGGGCCUGUGGUGCUGUGAGGAAAUGAGAAGCAAUGGGGUCAUGUGACUGCCGUGACCACUCCAGCUGGUGCAGUGUAGAUGGGCCGAGGCAUGAUGGAUGGUGAUGGUGGCCAGCCUCAAGACCCCCAGUGACUUGGCUCAGGACACAGCUCGCGUUCUAAGAGAAGACAAUGAUCACAGGGCCAGCCCAGAGCCCUGUCAUGCAUGAGUGUGGAAAUGCCUGUUGAGUUCAUAAGAAUAAGCUUGCUCUGUGAAUAUGUGCCCCACCCAGUUGUCCCCACGGUGACAGGGUGGUUCUGAGUAGCCUCUCCAGCUGGACACCCUGGCUAGGCAGAUGGCCCCAUGCACCAUGGGUAAGGCAGAGCCA